rnacentral:rRNA from 1 species
AUUGAACGCUGGCGGCAGGCCUAACACAUGCAAGUCGAGCGGUAUUUACCUUCGGGUAAUGAGAGCGGCGGACGGGUGAGUAAUGCUUGGGAAUCUACCUAGUAGUGGGGGACAACAGUUGGAAACGACUGCUAAUACCGCAUACGCCCUACGGGGGAAAGGGGGGGAUCUUCGGACCUCUUGCUAUUAGAUGAGCCCAAGUCGGAUUAGCUAGUUGGUGGGGUAAAGGCCUACCAAGGCGACGAUCCGUAGCUGGUUUGAGAGGAUGAUCAGCCACACUGGGACUGAGACACGGCCCAGACUCCUACGGGAGGCAGCAGUGGGGAAUAUUGGACAAUGGGCGCAAGCCUGAUCCAGCCAUGCCGCGUGUGUGAAGAAGGCCCUAGGGUUGUAAAGCACUUCAAGUAGGGAGGAAGGUCUGGUAAUUAAUACUUAUCAGGAUUGACGUUACCUACAGAAUAAGCACCGGCUAACUCCGUGCCAGCCGCCGCGGUAA